GGGGGGACUUACCUACGACCCGGUACAUGUUGGCAGCCAUGCCCGGGCUGGGGAGGUCCGGGCCGCGCCCGCCGCCGCUGCCUCCAGACCUGACCAAGAUAGAGCUCUAGCUGAAAGAGAACUGACUACAUCACAAUCCAGAUGAGACAGAAGAAAAAGGAAAGCAUUAAGAUGCAUCUCCUAUAACUGUCCUUCAGCCUCCAACUGCCUGGCUUUCUUCUACAGAUUUAAGGAAACAUAUCCUCACAUUUUCCCCUAGUGUAAACAAGGAGGAGGAGCCAACACCAUGUGACCUGCCACCUCAUCAUUUACUCCUAGCAAGUGCCCAGUGAUCACUGUUUUGAGAAUCUUUGGGAGGAUUUUUCUGUGCAGUUACCACAGAGAAAAUGAACGUGUCCACCUCCUGGGGAAGAACUAUUUUGUGGAUAAGUGUUAGACAAAAAAUACCUUCUCUCUGAGAGCCCCUUCCGGAGUGAACUAUAGACCUGAAACUUUCCACAAGGAAAACUGAGCAUGCACACCAAGGUGUUUGUGUGGAGAAAGCUUUCAGGUAAAUUGACUCCUGCCAAUUAACGGCAGCAUCUUUGUUAUGCAUUGACCUCCAUAUCCCUCAUUCCAUCCCACUCCUCAGGCAGAACCAAGCUUAUGGCCCCUGCAGUACAUGUCCUCUCUCCUGACCCCAUCCCUACUUCUUCUGACAAUCCCAAGGACAGUUGUCCAUUCAUUGUUCCUAAGACACAUAUCAUUUCAUGCUGAAUGUCUGAACUACAGCAGCGGAGAGGGAGUGUGUACU